rnacentral:rRNA from 1 species
AACGAACGCUGGCGGCAGGCCUAACACAUGCAAGUCGAGCGCGCCCUUCGGGGUGAGCGGCGGACGGGUGAGUAACGCGUGGGAACGUGCCCUUUUCUACGGAAUAGCCUCGGGAAACUGAGAGUAAUACCGUAUACGCCCUUUGGGGGAAAGAUUUAUCGGAAAAGGAUCGGCCCGCGUUGGAUUAGGUAGUUGGUGGGGUAAUGGCCUACCAAGCCGACGAUCCAUAGCUGGUUUGAGAGGAUGAUCAGCCACACUCGGACUGAGACACGGCCCAGACUCCUACGGGAGGCAGCAGUGGGGAAUCUUAGACAAUGGGGGCAACCCUGAUCUAGCCAUGCCGCGUGAGUGAUGAAGGCCUUAGGGUUGUAAAGCUCUUUCAGCUGGGAAGAUAAUGACGGUACCAGCAGAAGAAGCCCCGGCUAACUCCGUG